ACGGUCGGGGGCAUCAGUAUUCAAUUGUCAGAGGUGAAAUUCUUGGAUUUAUUGAAGACUAACUACUGCGAAAGCAUUUGCCAAGGACGUUUUCAUUAAUCAAGAACGAAAGUUAGGGGAUCGAAGAUGAUCAGAUACCGUCGUAGUCUUAACCAUAAACUAUGCCGACUAGGGAUCGGGUGUUGUUCUUUUUUUUGACUCACUCGGCACCUUACGAGAAAUCAAAGUUUUUGGGUUCUGGGGGGAGUAUGGUCGCAAGGCUGAAACUUAAAGGAAUUGACGGAAGGGCACCACCAGGAGUGGAGCCUGCGGCUUAAUUUGACUCAACACGGGGAAACUCACCAGGUCCAGACACAAUAAGGAUUGACAGAUUGAGAGCUCUUUCUUGAUUUUGUGGGUGGUGGUGCAUGGCCGUUCUUAGUUGGUGGAGUGAUUUGUCUGCUUAAUUGCGAUAACGAACGAGACCUUAACCUACUAAAUAGUACUGUUAGCUUUUUGCUGAUAUAGUUACUUCUUAGAGGGACUAUCGAUUUCAAGUCGAUGGAAGUUUGAGGCAAUAACAGGUCUGUGAUGCCCUUAGACGUUCUGGGCCGCACGCGCGCUACACUGACGGAGCCAACGAGUACUAUCCUUUGCCGAGAGGUAUGGGUAAUCUUGUGAAACUCCGUCGUGCUGGGGAUAGAGCAUUGCAAUUAUUGCUCUUCAACGAGGAAUUCCUAGUAAGCGUAAGUCAUCAGCUUGCGUUGAUUACGUCCCUGCCCUUUGUACACACCGCCCGUCGCUAGUACCGAUUGAAUGGCUUAGUGAGGCCUCAGGAUUGGUUUAAAGGAGGAGGCGACUCCACCUUGGAACCGAGAAUCUGGUCAAACUUGGUCAUUUAGAGGAACUAAAAGUCGUAACAAGGUUUCCGUAGGUGAACCUGCGGAAGGAUCA
rnacentral:rRNA from 3 species